rnacentral:rRNA from 1 species
ACUAAUUCUAGCCCUAACACAUAAUUAUUAAUACAACUAUUCUUACUAAAAUAAAUCAAAUCAUUCAGUCAAAUUAAAGUAUUGGAGAAAGAAAUAUUACAUUUAGGAGCUAUAGAGCAAGUACCGUAAGGGAAAGAUGAAAGACUAAUUUAAAGUAUUAAUAAGCAAAGAUUAAAUCUUGUACCUUUUGCAUAAUGAAUUAACUAGAAAAUUCCUAGCUAAAAGAACUAUAGCUAGACACCCCGAAACCAAACGAGCUACCUAAGAACAAUUUAUUGGAUUAACCCGUCUAUGUAGCAAAAUAGUGGGAAGAUUUUUAGGUAGAGGUGAAAAGCCUAACGAGCUUGGUGAUAGCUGGUUACCCAAAAAAUGAAUUUAAGUUCAACUUUAAACUUACUGAAAGAAUAAAAAAUCUAAAUGCAAGUUUAAAAUAUAGCCAAAAGAGGGACAGCUCUUUAGGAACGGAAAAAACCUUAAAUAGUGAAUAAACAUUAUAAAUUCAUUAAUCAUUGUAGGCCCAAAAGCAGCCAUCAAUAAAGAAAGCGUUCAAGCUCAACAUAAAACUAUUACUAAUUUGUUAACUUAAAAUAACUUCCUAAACUUAAAAUUGGGUUAAUCUAUAAUUCCAUAGAUGAAAUUCUGUUAAUAUGAGUAACAAGAAUAUUAAUUCUCCAAGCAUAAGUGUAUAACAACUCGGAUACCCAUUGUUAGUUAUCAGAUUAUAGGUUAUAUCUAAAUUACUAGACAUACCUAAAACUACUCUGUUAAUCCAACACAGGAAUGCUCUAAGGAAAGAUUAAAAAAAAUAAAAGGAACUCGGCAAACAAGAACCCCGCCUGUUUACCAAAAACAUCACCUCUAGCAUUACAAGUAUUAGAGGCACUGCCUGCCCAGUGACUAAAGUUUAACGGCCGCGGUAUCCUGACCGUGCAAAGGUAGCAUAAUCACUUGUUCCUUAAUUAGGGACUAGCAUGAACGGCUAAACGAGGGUCCAACUGUCUCUUAUCUUUAAUCAGUGAAAUUGACCUUUCAGUGAAGAGGCUGAAAUAUAAUAAUAAGACGAGAAGACCCUAUGGAGCUUAAAUUAUAUAACUUAUCUAUUUAAUUUAUUAAACCUAAUGGCCCAAAAACUAUAGUAUAAGUUUGAAAUUUCGGUUGGGGUGACCUCGGAGAAUAAAAAAUCCUCCGAAUGAUUAUCUAGACAAACCAGUCAAAAUAACCAUAACAUCACUUAUUGAUCCAAAAUUUGAUCAACGGAACAAGUUACCCCGGGAUAACAGCGCAAUCCUGUUCUAGAGUUCCUAUCGACAAUAGGGUUUACGACCUCGAUGUUGGAUCAGGGACACCCAAAUGGUGCAACCGCUAUUAAAGGUUCGUUUGUUCAACGAUUAAAGUCCUACGUGAUCUGAGUUCAGACCGGAGAAAUCCAGGUCGGUUUCUAUCUAUUUACAAUUUCUCCCAGUACGAAAGGACAAGAGAAAUAGAGCCUCCUUACAAAUAAGCGCUCUUAACUUAAUUUAUGAAUAAAAUCUUAAUAAUAUAUGUAUGUACAUUUAAUUACCUAGAUAAGGUU